AGGGAUGCGGCUCAGUGGCAGAGCUUUUGCCUUGUAUCCACAAGGUCCUAGGUUCAAUCUCCAGCAUCACUA
rnacentral:tRNA from 1 species